rnacentral:miRNA from 1 species
ACUGCAGUGCAGGCACUUGUGG